GGAGGGGGGAGGAAUAAAGGUUCUCUCUAUCUAUGUGUUGCCUUUGCCGCGACCAGAGCAGGAAGGCAGGUCAGAACUCCAGUAAAGAGUUAGUAAGCAAUCUAGUUAGAUAUGCGUUAGAUUCUGUUUUGUUUAAAUGGCUGAUAAAAUAAGUUGUGCUGAAUGGAAUGUAUAUUCCUGUUUUUGUGUCUUUUUGUAACUUACGGU